UACGAAGGAGGCUAGCGUUGUUCGGAAUUACUGGGCGUAAAGCGUGCGUAGGUGGUUUGUUAAGUCUGAUGUGAAAGCCCUGGGCUCAACCUGGGAAUUGCAUUGGAUACUGGCAGGCUAGAGUGCGGUAGAGGGUAGUGGAAUUCCCGGUGUAGCAGUGAAAUGCGUAGAUAGUCGGAAGGAACACCUGUGGCGAAAGCGGCUCACUGGACCAUUCUGACGCUGAGGCACGAAAGCUAGGGAGCAAACAGG
rnacentral:rRNA from 1 species